CCAAUAGCGUAUAUUAAAGUUGUUGCAGUUAAAAAGCUCGUAGUUGAACUUCGGGGUUCACCCAUUGGUCAGGCUUAAUUGUCUGUACUGGUGAGAUGAGUCUCUACCUUCUGAGGAACUUUCAUGCCAUUUAUUUGGUGUGAUUGGAAAUCAGGACUGUUACUUUGAAAAAAUUAGAGUGUUUAAAGCAGGCUAACGUCUGAAUACAUUAGCAUGGAAUAAUGAAAUAGGACGGAUUGAUUCUAUUUCGUUGGUUUCUAGGGUCACCGUAAUGAUUAAUAGGGAUAGUUGGGGGCAUUAGUAUUCAAUUGUCAGAGGUGAAAUUCUUGGAUUUAUUGAAGACUAACUACUGCGAAAGCAUUUGCCAAGGAUGUUUUCAUUAAUCAAGAACGAAAGUUAGGGGAUCGAAGACGAUCAGAUACCGUCGUAGUCUUAACCAUAAACUAUGCCGACUAGGGAUCGGACGCAGUUAAUUUUAUAAUGACGUGUUCGGCACCUUAC
rnacentral:rRNA from 1 species